rnacentral:rRNA from 1 species
UACGUAGGGGGCUAGCGUUGUUCGGAAUUACUGGGCGUAAAGCGCGCGCAGGCGGUUUUUCAAGUCAGAGGUGAAAGCCUGGGGCUCAACUCCAGAAUUGCCUUUGAAACGGGGACGCUUGAGUCCGAGAGAGGAUGGCGGAAUUCCUAGUGUAGAGGUGAAAUUCGUAGAUAUUAGGAAGAACACCGGUGGCGAAGGCGGCCAUCUGGCUCGGUACUGACGCUCAGGUUCGAAAGCGUGGGGAGCAAACAGG